ACCUUCGUUAUGCAGUGGUCAGCACGCUCGGCACGGAUUCGAGAGGACCGUGGUUCGAGUCCCGGCGAGGGCA
rfam:Stegodyphus mimosarum contig38494, whole genome shotgun sequence.